CAUAAUCAGAAUAAAAGUUAUCUCCCUUAUGUUUCAGCCAUGGUCGAGAAAGACCCUCUGCCCGUCUGAGCAUUCGUAGGGAUCGACCAUUAUCUGUCCACUUAAACCUGGGCCAGAAAGGUAACCGGAAAACUUCUUGGUAAGAGAGAGAACACAUUAAUUACUAUAUUAUCUGCCUUUGAAAUAUGAGUCAGAAUAGUUAUGGCACUUUCCCUUUUCUGCAGUAACUCUUUUUUUUGUUUCAUUUUUAAUUACAGUCCAAUAAAAAUAAAUCAGUUUGAAGGGCAUUUCAUGAAGCUACAGGCUGACUCCAACUACCUUCUAUCCAAGGAAUACGAGGUACAACUCAGGCAGAAUGAAGCUUCAGCAUCCCUAGUUCUUAGCAGAAUUUCCUUCCUAAUGUUUACUGUGUCAUCAUAGGCUGAUUGAGCUCAGAAGUUAGGAGGCUGCUUAGAAUCUCAGCUGAGCACUCUUAUAUGCCUAAACUAUGCCCUGAAUAGAAUAUACCAUCUAAUCUUAGAGGCCAGCUUGAGCUCCAGAAUAACACAGC
rnacentral:sRNA from 1 species